rnacentral:lncRNA from 1 species
ACUAAUUUGUAUGGAUACCUGGGAAUUAGGCAAUGUACUAAAUACUUUAUACAACUGUCCAAAGUACACCUGGCUUUCAGUCUCUGAACACAUCUGUGACAUAUAUGUACCAGGUCCCUAGAAAAGAAUAAGCCAAUUGUUUAAUAUUAUCUAAUACCUACAAGAUAAAAAUAUAUUUGAUAAGAACCAGUGGGGAGGACAAAGCUAUUUCCCACUUGAAAACAAAAUCAAAUGGCUUCAUGGGGCAGAGCCAAAAAUUGAGCACAACCAGUACCUAACAAAAAAAUGCGACACAGAAUCUCUUCUUUUCAGAUUGAACAUAAAGCUAUACACUAAUCA